rnacentral:rRNA from 1 species
GAUGAACGCUGGCGGCGUGCCUAAUACAUGCAAGUCGAGCGAACGGACGAGAAGCUUGCUUCUCUGAUGUUAGCGGCGGACGGGUGAGUAACACGUGGAUAACCUACCUAUAAGACUGGGAUAACUUCGGGAAACCGUAGCUAAUACCGGAUAAUAUUUUGAACCGCAUGGUUCAAAAGUGAAAGACGGUCUUGCUGUCACUUAUAGAUGGAUCCGCGCUGCAUUAGCUAGUUGGUAAGGUAACGGCUUACCAAGGCAACGAUGCAUAGCCGACCUGAGAGGGUGAUCGGCCACACUGGAACUGAGACACGGUCCAGACUCCUACGGGAGGCAGCAGUAGGGAAUCUUCCGCAAUGGGCGAAAGCCUGACGGAGCAACGCUGCGUGAGUGAUGAAGGUCUUCGGAUCGUAAAACUCUGUUAUUAGGGAAGAACAUAUGUGUAAGUAACUGUGCACAUCUUGACUGUACCUAAUCAGAAAGCCACGGCUAACUACGUG